rnacentral:rRNA from 1 species
CGGCGGACGGGUGAGUAACGCGUAGGAAUCUACCUAGUAGAAGGGGAUAGCCCGGGGAAACCCGGAUUAAUACCGUAUACCUCCUUCGGGAGAAAGAAGGCCUCUCUUUGAAGCUUUCGCUACUAGAUGAGCCUGCGUAAGAUUAGCUUGUUGGUGAGGUAAAGGCUCACCAAGGCAACGAUCUUUAGCUGGUCUGAGAGGACGAUCAGCCACAUUGGGACUGAGACACGGCCCAGACUCCUACGGGAGGCAGCAGUGGGGAAUAUUGGACAAUGGGCGCAAGCCUGAUCCAGCCAUACCGCGUGUGUGAAGAAGGCCUUCGGGUUGUAAAGCACUUUAAGCAGGGAGAAAAAGUUAUAAGCUAAUACCUUAUAACCUUGAUGUUACCUGCAGAAUAAGCACCGGCUAAUUCCGUGCCAGCAGCCGCGGUAAUACGGAAGGUGCAAGCGUUAAUCGGAAUUACUGGGCGUAAAGCGCGCGUAGGUGGUUUGUUAAGUUGGAUGUGAAAGCCCUGGGCUCAACCUAGGAACUGCAUCCAAAACUAACUCACUAGAGUACGAUAGAGGGAGGUAGAAUUCAUAGUGUAGCGGUGGAAUGCGUAGAUAUUAUGAAGAAUACCAGUGGCGAAGGCGGCCUCCUGGAUCUGUACUGACACUGAGGUGCGAAAGCGUGGGUAGCGAACAGGAUUAGAUACCCUGGUG